CCUACGGGUGGCAGCAGUGGGGAAUAUUGGACAAUGGGGGCAACCCUGAUCCAGCCAUGCCGCGUGUGUGAAGAAGGCCCUCGGGUUGUAAAGCACUUUCAGUGAGGAAGAACGCCUGGUGGUUAAUACCCAUCAGGAAAGACAUCACUCACAGAAGAAGCACCGGCUAACUCCGUGCCAGCAGCCGCGGUAAUACGGAGGGUGCGAGCGUUAAUCGGAAUUACUGGGCGUAAAGCGCGCGUAGGUGGCUUGAUAAGCCGGUUGUGAAGCCCCGGGCUCAACCUGGGAACGGCAUCCGGAACUGUCAAGCUAGAGUGCAGGAGAGGAAGGUAGAAUUCCCGGUGUAGCGGUGAAAUGCGUAGAGAUCGGGAGGAAUACCAGUGGCGAAGGCGGCCUUCUGGACUGACACUGACACUGAGGUGCGAAAGCGUGGGUAGCAAACAGGAUUAGAUACCCUAGUAGUC
rnacentral:rRNA from 1 species